AAAAAAUAAUUAUAUUUGUUUGUGUUAUAGGAGCCCUCAGCAGUCCAACUCUGGCUUGGGCCCCAGUACGUAGCACAGGGUAUGAGCUACCUACUCACCAGCUGGCAUCCAAAAGGACACCUGCACCUGCAGUUUUCUGCUGUAAUUCAAGAAAAUGUAUACAGCAGUCACUCUACAGGCAAGUCUGUAGGCAAAACGGACUAGACUAGGUCUUAAAGAUAAGCUUCUGCAACAACGUGGAUCGAAGAGAGUCCAUUCCUCUUGACAGUUUUCAUCUGAUGCUUAUGAGCCUGAGCUGUGCAAGGCAUGUCUGUGAACUCACCUCCCGCCCCAAGGAGCAUGCAGCUG